UACGGAGGGGGUUAGCGUUGUUCGGAAUUACUGGGCGUAAAGCGCGCGUAGGCGGACCAGAAGGUUGGGGGUGAAAUCCCGGGGCUCAACCCCGGAACGGCCUCCAAAACUCCUGGUCUUGAGUUCGAGAGAGGUGAGUGGAAUUCCGAGUGUAGAAGUGAAAUUCGUAGAUAUUCGGAGGAACACCAGUGGCGAAGGCGGCUCACUGGCUCGAUACUGACGCUGAGGUGCGAAAGUGUGGGGAGCGAACAGG
rnacentral:rRNA from 1 species